AUCGCAUCUCACCAACAAAUACAUAAAUUUAAUAAACCCUCGAUCUCGACCCUCCCUCUACAUAUCACUUGAUACUCAUACUCACUCGAUAAGAUGGAACUCUACAAUUAUUAUAAUUCCUAGAUUAUUAUCUUAUCUACCGGAGCUCGGUAACCAACCAACCACCACUUAUCAUCAUCGUCAAACGAUGACAACUAACUUGAAUUGGUUAUCAUUUUCUUAUAUAAACUACUAUUAUGGGAGGCACCACUAACUAAACUAAACUAAACUAAACUAAACUAAUGACAAUUUACUUAUUUAACUUGGAUAAUAAGAUAAACAAGAAGCAAAUUACGGUUAAAUUAUUAUUUUAUCGUUCCUCAACAAGUAGUCAUUCAUUCAAGAGGUGGACGUGGACAAACAAUUGUUCAUACUUUUAUCGGGACAAGAAGAACAUGAGAAGAUCGAUAAUUCCUAAAUAAAACCUGAUGGAUGGAACAUAACAUCAUUAUUAUUCAUCUAAUUGUUGUGAAGAAUUGAAUUUUAACAAGAAGAGGCUCCCGUUUUUUCUAUUAUUAUCCUUAA